rnacentral:rRNA from 1 species
AUUGAACGCUGGCGGCAUGGCUAAAACAUGCAAGUCUGGGAGAAUCCUUCGGGAGGACACCGGCGGACGGGCGAGGAAUGCAAUCGAAUGUACCCCGAGCUGAGGGAUAGCGUUUGGAAACGAACGGUAAUACCUCAUGUGAUCUACGGAUGAAAGCUUUAGCGGCUUGGGAUCAGCGAUUGUCCUAUCAGGUAGUUGGUGAGGUAACGGCUCACCAAGCCGAAGACGGGUAGCGGGUGUGAGAGCAUGACCCGCCGCAUCGGGACUGAGACACUGCCCGGACUCCUACGGGAGGCUGCAGUAACGAAUCUUCCGCAAUGGGCGAAAGCCUGACGGAGCAAUGCCGCGUGUGGGACGAAGCGUCUAGGCGUGUAAACCACUGUCAGACUGUAGGAACACUGACCGCAGUCAGAGGAAGGGCCGGCUAACCUCG